CUUUAUUUGAGAGUUUGAUCCUGGCUCAGGGUGAACGCUGGCGGCAUGUCUAAGGCAUGCAAGUCGAAUGCUGAGCUUGCUCAGCAUGGCAAACGGGAGAGUAACACAUUGGUAAUCUACCUUGAUCUUGGGGAUAAUCCGAAGAAAUUUGGAAUAAUACCCAAUAGUCAUGGGGGGACAUAAGUCAUUCCCAUGUAAAGUUCCGGCGGAUCAAGAGGAGCCUAUGGCCUAUCAGCUUGUUGGUAAGGUAAAAGCUUACCAAGGCUAUGACAGGUAGCGGGUGUGAGAGCAUGGCCCGUCUCACUGGGACUGAGACACUGCCCAGACUCCUACGGGAGGCUGCAGUCGAGAAUCUUCCUCAAUGGACGAAAGUCUGAAGGAGCAAUGCCGCGUGAUCGAUGAAGCCUUUCGGGGUGUAAAGAUCUUUUAUCAGGGAAGAAUCCGUGACGGUACCUGAUGAAUAAGUCACUGCUAACUACGUGCCAGCAGCAGCGGUAAUACGUAGGUGGCAAGCGUUACCCGGAUUAACUGGGCGUAAAGCGUCCGCAGACUGUCAUUCAAGUCUUUGGUUAAAUCUCGAGGCUCAACCUCGAGACCGCCAAAGAUACUGUAUGACUAGAGGCUGGGAGAGGCAAGCGGAAUUACUGGUGUAGUAGUAAAAUGCGUUAAUAUCAGUAAGAACACCAAAAGCGAAGGCAGCUUGCUAGAACAGUCCUGACGUUCAGGGACGAAAGCGUGGGGAGCGAAUGGGAUUAGAUACCCCAGUAGUCCACGCCGUAAACGUUGGAUACUAAAUAUUGGAAGUUUCGACCCUUUCAGUGUUGUUUACCUAAGCUAACGCCUUAAGUAUCCCGCCUGGGAAGUACGGCCGCAAGGCUAAAACUAAAAGGAAUUGACGGGGACUCGCACAAGCGGUGGAUCAUGUGG
rnacentral:rRNA from 1 species